GUGAACGCUGGCGGUAGGCCUAACACAUGCAAGUCGAACGGCAGCACCGUAAGAGCUUGCUCUUACGGGUGGCGAGUGGCGGACGGGUGAGGAAUACAUCGGAAUCUACUUUUUCGUGGGGGAUAACGUAGGGAAACUUACGCUAAUACCGCAUACGACCUACGGGCGAAAGCAGGGGAUCUUCGGACCUUGCGCGAUUGAAUGAGCCGAUGUCGGAUUAGCUAGUUGGCGGGGUAAAGGCCCACCAAGGCGACGAUCCGUAGCUGGUCUGAGAGGAUGAUCAGCCACACUGGAACUGAGACACGGUCCAGACUCCUACGGGAGGCAGCAGUGGGGAAUAUUGGACAAUGGGCGCAAGCCUGAUCCAGCCAUACCGCGUGGGUGAAGAAGGCCUUCGGGUUGUAAAGCCCUUUUGUUGGGAAAGAAAAGCAGCAGGUUAAUACCCCGCUGUUCUGACGGUACCCAAAGAAUAAGCACCGGCUAACUUCGUG
rnacentral:rRNA from 1 species